rnacentral:lncRNA from 1 species
UUUCAACAGUCUCAUCAUAUAUUUAUUUUUUAAUCUCAAAAAAUUCAUAUGCAGUGAUUUCAAAAGCCUUUUAUACAAAUAUUAAACAUUAGAAUUAUAGCAGAAACCCAAUUCAAGAUGCAGAAAUCAAUGCUGAAAAUUACGAAAAACCUGAGAUCAUAACAAUAGAAAUAGGUAAUCUCCAGUUCUUCUUGCAUAUUAACAUUGGUCUAACAAGAAGAAAGAGAAAAAGGUAAAAAGAGAGUAAGCUAACAGAUUGAGCCGUCUUGCCAAUAUCACGAUCGGCAGCAUCAGAAAUCAAAACUCAAAACAAAACUCAGAAACAGUUUCUUCACAUCCACAUCAGCUAAGAAUGCACAUUUGCCUGAGGAACAUUCUGCAGAAAAAGACUGUAUUCUUCGAUCCAGUAGGCUCUGACAGCUACAAUCCUCACCAUAUUCACCUCUCUCAGCUUCAGCAGCUGCCAACACAAUCAUAAUGGAAUCAUCAGAUGAAUAAAUAUAUAAAUAUAUAUAUAUAUGGGGCAAGUAAAAAAAAAAAAUUAAAACUUUAUAGCAGUGUUUGAAGACAGAAGUGUGACGGGACCAAAUAGUGGGUGGGGUGUGUAUAUUUUGGCAAGAAAUAAAAAGAAAAAGAGAACAAAGAGAAAAGGUUGCAUGAAGAUGUGUAUGUUUGAAAAGGAAAGUAUUGUUGAGAAUGCAUGCCUAGCUGUUAGCAGCUAGUGCAAUUUUUGUCCAUAAAAAAUUACACGACCCCAUGAAAAUGAAGAAAACAAUGGUGGGUGCGUGUGUGGGCG